rnacentral:misc_RNA from 1 species
CAGAGGAGGAUUCAACGCCGACAUCAUCGGUAUUGCCAUCCUCGUCGCUGCGUUCCUUGUUCUUGUGAACGGGUAUUGGAGCAUCUUCGACAACCGCGACAGCAACCAAGACGGGCGAGAGCGAGGCGUGUUGCACAUUUUCGGGCUUCACCGAAGCGCUCACGACCAGUGUCAAGUCAACACACACACACACACACACACACACACAGGAAGGAUGGGCGGCUCCAACUCCACCAAUAGAAAGAUCAUAUACAAGAAUGGCAGGCCCACCUUCAAGGGGGAUGAGGUGGUGAAGGGCUUCGAGAGAGACAACGGUCUUCUCUUCCGCAUCGUCAAGAGGAAGAAAGGGCAUCAGACGUGGGCUUUCUACAAUGACACGACGCAGUACAACAUGCGCAUCAAUGUCACCUUCGCCGCCGGUUGCGAGCUCACCGCCCUCGGACACACAAAGGUAGUGAAAGGGGCGAGGGGCGAGUGGGUUGCCACCGUCGUCGUGAUGCCCGGUAAGACGGAGAUGUUUGUAGAGGGAAAAAUCGAAGGCUUCAAAUCGAAUAUGGACGCCUAUCCCGCCAUGAGCGACGGCAGCGGCAGCCGUCUGGCCGCAGGGGAAGCGGUAGCGAACUGACCGUGUGCGUCUGUCUGCUUGACGGUCGGUCGAUGCGCACACUCUUUUCUUCGCCAUUGGAAGACGCGCGCUCGAGUAACCGCACGCAUGAAGUUCGGCAGUGCCGCGCGCAACCACAGAGAGACAAAGACGUCCGCAAGACACAAAUACCAGUGAGUUGUAUCGGGGCGUCACUUAUGGAGAUGCGAAACGGACGCUUAUGCUACUGUUUCUGCUCUCUAGUGAGCCAGAUGAUGGUGAAACUAUCUGGGUGCCGCGGCACCUUAUCUUGUCGCCUCCCACAACACCACCCCAUCUCUACCCCCGAUAUUCCCGCUAGACCACAUGUGUGCAUAUGCAUAUGUAAUAUACUCGCCUUUUCUGUCAAAAAAAAGCUUGAUGUCUGCCUUUUCGCUUUUGCGUUUAGGUGGCAAGCCCGUCCUCUUGUGCGAGUCGUUUGCCUUCUGCCUCUCCUCCCUCCCUCCCCUCCUCCUGCCUUCUCCCUAUCGUGCCUGUCGGUCUGCGCAUGUGCGUUGGGUCAGAGCGCGCACAUUUACGCAUACGCACCGGCGCGCCGACACACCCAAACACGCGCGCGCGCACACACACACACACACACACACUUCGAGUCUCCAGCUGCGCUAACAUGUGAGUAGAUGUGUAGGUGUGUGUGUGUCUAUGCGCCUAGCGUUCUCGUGAAGCAAACGUGCAUGUCCGCAUAUAGCGUUACUGCUGUGAGGUGUGUGCGCAUGUAGGGUGGGGGGAGGGAGAGGGAGGGGGAAGAGUGGCGAAGGGGACGCGCUUAUACGCACGCGUGGCCCCUUUUUUCUUCGCUGUUGUUUGUGCCUAUCUUGUGUGCACCGACUUGUUCAUUUUCAUCUCCCCGGAUUCCCCAUGUCUUCUUUGCAGCCCUUUUUUUUUGUCUUGCCCCGCCCUUGCGCGUGUGCUUGAAAGGCUGACCCGAAUGCGUACCUAUCUCUGUCUGUCCGUCUCUCCUCCUCCCUUCCUAUUCGCGGCUUCACGUUGGAUGUGUGCAUGUGUUACUACUCGCUGCCGCUACGCGGAGGAUGCAUGGCAUGCACGGAGAGAGGGAAGUAGACGCACCGAUGUGCCGCAGCUUUCUCCUGCUUCUUUACGAUUACUCGUACGACGGCGUUGCCUACCAGCGUCACUGGGUCCUCCAUCCAUCCGCACUUCUGAUUUCCUCCACCUCCUCCCAUCAUCCCCAUGGCAGCUUUUAGGUGCGCCGCCGGUGACUUCAAGCAGAAUGGAGUGCGGCAAGAGCAUUCAUGAGCACGCGGGUGUAUGCCUGCGUGGGGCUGAGCAAUGCGGCCAGCGGGUCGUGGUAUGAGAACCACCGUCUCACCUCUCAGCAGCACCCCCACCAGACAUCCACUGACGUGCGCGGC